rnacentral:rRNA from 1 species
GACGAACGCUGGCGGCGUGCUUAACACAUGCAAGUCGAACGAUGAAGCUGGAGCUUGCUCCGGUGGAUUAGUGGCGAACGGGUGAGUAACACGUGAGCAAUCUGCCCUUGACUCUGGGAUAACUGCGGGAAACUGUAGCUAAUACCGGAUACGAGGCUCGAAGGCAUCUUCGGGUCUGGAAAGAAUUUCGGUCAAGGAUGAGCUAGCGGCCUAUCAGCUUGUUGGUGAGGUAAUGGCUCACCAAGGCGACGACGGGUAGCCGGCCUGAGAGGGUGACCGGCCACACUGGGACUGAGACACGGCCCAGACUCCUACGGGAGGCAGCAGUGGGGAAUAUUGCACAAUGGGCGAAAGCCUGAUGCAGCAACGCCGCGUGAGGGAUGAAGGCCUUCGGGUUGUAAACCUCUUUUAGUAGGGAAGAAGCGAAAGUGACGGUACCUGCAGAAAAAGCACCGGCUAACUACGUGCCAGCAGCCGCGGUAA